GACGAACGCUGGCGGCGUGCUUAACACAUGCAAGUCGAACGGAAAGGCCCUGCUUGCAGGGUACUCGAGUGGCGAACGGGUGAGUAACACGUGGGUGAUCUGCCCUGCACUUCGGGAUAAGCCUGGGAAACUGGGUCUAAUACCGGAUAGGAGCCAUUUUUAGUGUGAUGGUUGGAAAGUUUUUUCGGUGUAGGAUGAGCUCGCGGCCUAUCAGCUUGUUGGUGGGGUAAUGGCCUACCAAGGCGGCGACGGGUAGCCGGCCUGAGAGGGUGGACGGCCACAUUGGGACUGAGAUACGGCCCAGACUCCUACGGGGGGCAGCAGUGGGGAAUAUUGCACAAUGGGCGCAAGCCUGAUGCAGCGACGCCGCGUGGGGGAUGACGGCCUUCGUGUUGUAAACUCCUUUCGCUAGGGACGAAGCUUUUUGUGACGGUACCUAGAUAAGAAGCACCGGCUAACUACGUG
rnacentral:rRNA from 1 species